CGCCCAGACUCCUACGGGAGGCAGCAGUGGGGAAUAUUGCACAAUGGGGGAAACCCUGAUGCAGCAACGCCGCGUGAGUGAAGAAGUCAUUCGUGAUGUAAAGCUCUAUCAGCAGGGAAGAAAAUGACGGUACCUGAGUAAGAAGCCCCGGCUAACUACGUGCCAGCAGCCGCGGUAAUACGGAGGAUCCGAGCGUUAUCCGGAUUUAUUGGGUUUAAAGGGUGCGUAGGCGGUCCGUUAAGUCAGCGGUAAAAUGGCGGGGCUCAACCCUGUCGAGCCGUUGAAACUGGCAGACUUGAGUUGGCGAGAAGUACGCGGAAUGCGCGGUGUAGCGGUGAAAUGCAUAGAUAUCGCGCAGAACUCCGAUUGCGAAGGCAGCGUACCGGCGCCAGACUGACGCUGAGGCACGAAAGCGUGGGGAUCGAACAGGAUUAGAUACCCCGGUA
rnacentral:rRNA from 1 species